rnacentral:lncRNA from 1 species
UUUUGGUAAUAGUGAACUGAAACUGUACAGUAGCUCUAAGUAGAUAUCAAUAGAAUGAAUAGAUAUUAUUUGCUCUUUAUUCCGUUUAAAAUUCUCUAUCAAUCCUGGCUCUCUCCAUUGCUACAGAGCUGCUGCCUCCUCCAAGGGCUGCUUAAGCCUGUCCCUCUCCUCCUCACACAUUCCAUUAGAUGGAUAACGGUUUUGCCAUCUGCAGCUAUCAGGAGGCUGUGGUGUUGGGAGUAUGGUGCCAUGAAUAUACACAUUUGCAGCUGGACCACAGCUCCUUCCUCAAGGUGGCUAGAAGGUUCAUCUAAUGCACAGAAGGAGUGGACACAGCAAGUCCUUUUUGAGCACCAGUGUCCCCGAGUGAAUAAUAGCACUUCUGAAUCAAGGGAAUUCUUGAGGUGACCUAGAGUCAACUCUUUCAGUCUGACAUGGCCUGAGAAGUCAAAGUGACAGUUGUUGUUUAAGCAAUUCCUUUAAUAAAUUUAUAAACCAUAAAAUGCCAAGUGGAAAAAAUUCAUAGUUAUUAUAACC